AACGAGCGCUGGCGGCAGGCUUAACACAUGCAAGUCGAACGCAUCGCAAGAUGAGUGGCAGACGGGUGAGUAACGCGUGGGAACAUACCCUUUUCUACGGAAUAGCUCUGGGAAACUGGAAUUAAUACCGUAUACGCCCUACGGGGGAAAGAUUUAUCGGGGAAGGAUUGGCCCGCGUUGGAUUAGCUAGUUGGUGGGGUAAAGGCCUACCAAGGCGACGAUCCAUAGCUGGUCUGAGAGGAUGAUCAGCCACAUUGGGGCUGAGACACGGCCCAGACUCCUACGGGAGGCAGCAGUGGGGAAUAUUGGACAAUGGGCGCAAGCCUGAUCCAGCCAUGCCGCGUGAGUGAUGAAGGCCUUAGGGUUGUAAAGCUCUUUCACCGAUGAAGAUAAUGACGGUAGUCGGAGAAGAAGCCCCGGCUAACUUCGUGCCAGCCGCCGCCGUAAUAC
rnacentral:rRNA from 1 species